UUGACCAAAAGCUGAACUUUGGAGUGAUCCUGUGCAUGAGCGGCGGCGUCGUGCGAUCGUUGUCACUGUCCCUGGUCUUGGUGAGAGCUCCGAGAGGGCAUUGUCCGACAACGCGGAGCUCUUCAUGCUCGAGCAAGCCGCAGAAGAGCACAAAGUUGGCAACCACCGCAAGUGGAGAUUGUUCCCGCUGCAGCCCUUGUAGCUCCAAUCUCCGUGUCUACUCUAAAUAACAGACAGCGUCAUCUAUGCUAGAAAAGGAACUUUGGAAAAGCUGACCAGAGUUUCUACUUGCUCGUCCUCCAGGCGCUCAUCGCAAAGACGAUACUCUCCUUCCAUCCGAGCAGCAGCCAGUGCCCAUCCACGCCCAGCUUGAAGUUGUUGUUUAGCUUGCUGCUGCUGCUGCACCACACGUCCUUCACCACCUCGAUCGUUUCCGGUCGAACCGGCAGCAGCUCAAAUCCAGCUCUUCUAGCCCUCGAGUCCCAGCUCCUGUAAGAAUUUGGCCGCUCAAUCCUUUCAACGCCUUCCAGAGCCACCACGUCCAUGAUCGCCUUUGCAAUGAUGUUCCCCAUGAAAUCAUACUCCUCCGGCAUGUCCUCUUGCAGGAGCAGCGUCUCGAACAGCUCCAUCCUCGUGAAAAGCGUAUCGAGCGCCCCCUCGAAACGUUGGAUGAAGAAAGGAGAGCUCAAGUUGGAGGUGGCAUCCAACACGCACUGUAUGAACAGGUCCGGCUUGAGGCUGUAAACUCUUUCGAAGAAGAGCUUCCGCGGAUUAUUCCCGACACUGCCAUCUUCUCGCAAAUGCCGGAGGCGGAGGUUGCAAUUCACGAUGAGCAAGUCCUACGAUGUGAAUUCUCUUCGUGCCCUGGCAAACGUUGAAGAUGUUGCAAGCGGCAUAUCGCUGGGUGACCCUGAAGGAUGGGAGAUUGAGCAGCCGGACGUGGACAGAGUGCCUCUCUCGGAUCCCUUUCACCAUGGCACUGUAUACCUGUGGCCCAAACCCUGCAAUCUACCCAGCAGCCCCAACAUUGAAAUUGUGUGAGAUCUUUAUCCAUUUCUUUCUUCCACUCCAUUUCUCCGCCAUAGCCAAAGCUCGCCUCGUUUGUUCUUCCUUGUCUCAGAUCCCGGCUGACGUGACCCAAGGGACAAAUCCACUGACAACUUCGAUUGGAGACGCGGAUGCGGUGAUUUGCGCUACUGGAUUUCGCUACUCUCUCGAUGUCCUGGCUCCCUGGAAGGUAGAUUGUUUCAGGAUCUCGACUGGAUCAAUCAUACAUUCUUUCUCCUCAGGUGGACUAUCGAGGAACCCUAAACCUCGUGGAAGCGUGCCGCAAGAAUGGGAUCAAGAGAUUCGUGCUCAUAAGCUCCAUUCUCGUGAAUGGCGCCGCGUGGGGGCAGGCGCUCAAUCCAGCCUAUCUGGUGCUCAAUGCGUUUGGUCUCACGCUCAUCGCCAAGCUCCAGGCCGAGAACUAUGUGAGAAGCUCUGGGAUCAACUACACGAUCAUCCGGCCUGGGGGCCUCUCGGAGGAGAAACCGGAUGGAAACAAGAAGAUCGUCAUGGCAAAGCAGGCAAGGCAUUGUUCUCCUCUGAUUCUUUGAGAAAAUUGACGAUUUGAUCGCAGGAUACGCUCUCGUCCGGAUCGAUUUCGCGAGAUCUUGUCGCUGACGUUGCCGUGGAGUCGAUCGAUUGCGACGAUGCGAGCUUCAAAGUAGUGGAAAUCGUGGCGGAGCCUGGCGCCCAAAAACAGAGCAUCGCAGAGCUCUUUGCCCUAAUUUCAUAAUCCUGGUGGGCCGAAGAAAUCUAGGGCGCGGCAUUUUGAUAUUGUCUCUAUCCCCAGCGAUGAGCGCCGACCUCGUCUCCAAGCUGCGCGCCGUGCUCCUCCACCACCAGGUUCGUCUCGAUCCAGUGCCGCAGCGCCAGCACGUCGAGGAUCCCAACGAUCCCACGCUCGCUUACAUUUCCCGGAUGCUUCUGGACGAGGAGGAGGAGGAGGAGGAGGAGCCGCCGCAGAUGAUCCAGCUCCAGGAUGCCUACAAGAAUCUCAUCGCGGAGCUCGCCGCUCUGGUGUCUUCGCCCGGCGGCAGUGGGAAUCUCAUCCAUCCAGACGAUUCUGGAAAUAUUUCGGUGCCAGACGUCCACGAAUCCAGGACGGGGUUCCUGAAAUCGAUGCUCCUGGAAGCGGCUCGAGCGGUGGCGGGGAAUCGUGGCUCCGAGGUGUACAGGAUCAUCAGCGAGGUGAGGAGCCUGGCAUCGCCAGAGGGCAGCAGUGAAGAACGCACGGCCUUGUUCUUCGCGGAUGCCUUGAUUGCGCGCUUCACAGGGUUUGGGUCUCAGGUCUACAGCGCCAUGGUGAAAGGGAUUCGCGAGAGGCACUCGGUCCACGUCCGGCUGCUCAAUCUCCCAUCCUUCAGGGUCACCCAGCGAUUUGCCAACGGCACCAUUCUAGACUUUUGCCAAGGAGCUACGAGAAUUCACAUCAUCGACUAUGGGAUCCACUAUGGCUGCCAGUGGCCCCAGCUCAUCCAGAGGCUCUCGCAGCGGCCAGAGGGACCGCCGGCGAUGAAGAUCACAGGGAUCGACUUUCCUCGCGUGGACGUCAAGGAGACAGAGAGAAACCUCGUGGAGUAUGCCAAGAGCUGUGGAAUCUCGCUCGAGUUUGAGGUGAUCACGAGCACGUCCUGGGAAUUGGUCCAGCCCAAGACUCACGUGAAUGACUUGCUCAUCGUCAACUGCAACCUCCGCCUCCGGCAUUUGCGAGAAGAUGGCAGCGUCGGCGACAAUCCGCGGAAGCUCUUCUUCGAGAAGGUCUACAGCCUCAAGCCGGACCUGUUCAUACAGUGCGUGUGGGAUGCCGGCUCCAACUUGAGCUCCCCUUUCUUCAUCCAACGUUUCGAGGGGGCUCUCGAGAGUUUCUUCACGAAGAUGGACCUGUUUCAGACUCUGCUGCAAGAGGACAUGCCGGAGGAGUAUGAUUUCAUAGGGAACAUCAUGGCAAAGACGAUCAUGAACAUGGUGGCUAUGGAGGGCGUUGAAAGGUUGGAGCGGCCAAAUUCUUACAGGAGCUGGGAUUCGAGGGCUAGACGAGCUGGAUUUGAGCAGGAACCAGUUAGGCCGACAGCGGUGGAGCUGGUUAAGGCAGCGUGGUGCAGCAGUAAGCCCAAUUGCAACUUCAAGAUGGGGAUGGAUGGGAACUGGUUGCUACUCGGAUGGAAAGAGAGGGUCCUCUAUGCGAUGAGCACCUGGAGGCCGCAGAACAAGCAAGCGGGCUAAACUGCGGUAAGUUUCUCAUUUGUUCCUUCUUUAAGUUCUUUCUAUUCUAGUGUAUAUUAACGCUGACUAGUGCAGCAUCAGGGAUUCUCUGAUGAAGAGUGAUCUAAAAUCCCUGAAAGAGUGGAGCUCGGCUCGGUGGAAGAAGACCGAGUCCAGUCCAGAUUCUCUCGAAAUGCAAACGGGAAUAUGUAAAAAUGAUUGGUCAGGUUAGUAAAUCUCAGUGUCAAACGCCUUUGAAGGAAAGGUACUGCUUGAUAGUGAACCCUGUCCAAAGAGUAUUCACUUUUUUCUAGUGCCAUACGAAGAGAAACGCAGUCAGACAGUGAAGUAUGAAAGUGAAAAAUAGUUCUAAGAAAUAAUUGCAUUUGGCUCACUCAUUCCUUGUCAAUCAGUAAAUCUUCUAUCUGUCAUUAUCACACCAGAAGGGGCCCCUACAUAAUUAGAUUCAUGGCCUUGUCAGUAGAGCAGGAGUGUCUAUCCAAGAAUGGAGGGAGGUUUCUCAAUUGGUGUUUAACGGGAGGCUUAACGGGAGGCGGCAAAUUGAGAAACCUCCCUCCAUUCUUGGAUAGACACUCCUGCCUUUACAAGUGUCAGGAUCAAUGACCCGAUUUACCAUAGUCACAGAACAGGCAAGUAAUGUUCUUUUUCUUGAGCAAUAGGUUUAGUGAAUUCUCAUCUGGUGUUAAUGAUAAUUCUUGAUUCUUCAUCAGGAGAGGGAUCUAGAUGAGGUAAGGAAUGAUAUUCAACUCACACAACCACAUUGGGAAUGUUAUAUAAGGACUAGGGCUGGAAGGAAGACACUAAUAAAUUACUUGUUUUGUGGCUUCAAGGUUGCCCUUGAAUUUGAGCAACAUCCAAUGUUGUUUGAUGGUUUCUUGUUUUGUCAAGGGUGUUACAUUUAUAUAAGUCUCUAUAUCUUGUUAAUGUUAAUUUUUAACAGAUGUAUUUGGUUUUUUUUUUCUCUAACAAAGCAUUUUACAAUAAAAUCAAAGCCAUUCAAAAGAAUAUACUACAAAUAAAAUCAAAAACUUACAAAGAAUAUCUAUUUUAAUAUAUUUUAUAAUUCUCUUAAUCUAUUUUUUUUUUUAAAAAAAAAUCUUUUGGACAUGAUUUCAGGUAAAAAUAUUUAUGUGAAAUUUAUAUAUUUAGAUCUCAAAGCAUUAGUAUAAUAUAUCAACAUGAUUUUAUUUAUAAGUUCUUCAAUUUUAAAUGUUGUUGAAGAUGUUGUUUGUCCAUCAUAUGCAUUUCCUCCUAGAAUUGUAAAAUAUAAUUAUUAAUUUAUAAGUCAUAAUAGUGAUUUUAUAAAAGAUUUUAUUUGUAUGGAUGACAAUAUGGAAAUACCAAUAAUGAAUUGUAAGAUAUGAUAACUCAAUUACUUGAUGAUAGUAUCCAAUAAUCACAUACACUAUGAAGGACAUACUUAUGGGUACCCAAUAUAUACAAUUUCAAUUAAAACAAUAUCUUAUUUAAGGGUAUAUUAUAUUUAAAAAAUUAUUAAUCAAUAAAAAUUAAAAUCAUGUCAUUUAUUUUGAUAUUAUAUGUAACGCACCCUAUCUCUUUCCCCUGAAUCCAACUGGAAAAGGGGUAAUUGUUUAAUGAAAAAACCCUUAAUAACUAUUUAUCCUCAUUUAUCCUUUGAGGUUUCAAAUAUUCACAAUGACAGUAUAUUUAAAUAUUAUCUUAUGAUCACAUAUGUUACAAAAUAAAAACCUAAAUUACCAAGAAAAUAAUAUUUAAUAUCAUAAAAACAUUAUAUAAGGCCUAAAGGCAUAAAUUCAUAAAUAAUAAUAGAUAAUAGGUAUUAUUUAAAGUUAAAAAUUAUUUAAAGGUAAAACCAGAGGAAGCUAUCCAAAGUGGAUAAUGCCAAAAGGAUUUUAAUACAAAUAUAUGGGGCUUAUGAAUAAUAAUCAUGAUGUGUUGAAUUAUAAAUUGAGUAUAUCUAAAUUGAAAACCUACUUUUUAAGUGAUUGAGUAAAUUUAUCCUUAGGACACUUGUUAAGACAUGGAAGGUCAACACUAUAAGCCUAUUUCAUUAAAAAUAUUGUCAAAUAUUUUGGAACUUUAAACAAUUUAUAUUCCAAUUGUGAGGCACUAUAUGUUUAUAUUUAUCUUUAUUUAAUUUUUUUUCUUCUCAUUUGACUUUUUUUGUUCUUGUUUCACUUCAUUUAAAUUAUUUUUUUCUGUUUGAAUUCAUUUGGGGGUCAAAGCAUGAAAGGGUGGGCCAAAAAAUAGACAUUUUUUAGUAGUUUACAGUGAAUCUAAAUUUUAAUUUUUUAUUAGAUCCUUUAUAAUUUUUAAAAUCUAAAUAAAUUUGGAAUGUAAUGUUGCAUAUAUCUACUUCAAAAAAAAUUAAAAAUCAUUUUUUAAAAUUUAGGUUUUGGCUGAACAUCCUAAAAAGUCUUUUUUAUGUUCUCACCCUUGACUUAGUUUUAAAACUUGGAGCUGAUUUAUGAAUUGCACACUAUAGAUGAUUAUUGACCAUUUUUCAAAUACACAUGAAUGCAUAGAGGGUCUUCCAUUCAUGUAUGAUCAUGUGGUGAGUCAAAUAGAUAGUGUUGACAAGCCAUUAGGAAUCAACAUUGAUGUGGUUUUUGAAAGUAUAGCUACUUAGCUAUGUAGUGCAUAUGAUAUUAAAGGCUACUCAGUGAUUCCAAAAAGUAAAGUGGUUGAAAUAACUUUGAUUGCUUGUGAAGUGGAAGAAUUGAAUGGGAGAUCAAAGAAGAUUUUGAAUUAAAUGUAAAUCCUCCUCAAUUAACUCCUCUUAAGCAAGAGCUUGUUAGAGAAGAUGCAUAAAGCAUUUGGGCUAUUUAAUUUCUCUUGUGAUUUUCUUAACUUUGAUACAAAAUUAUCACCACAUUUUGAGUACAUGGUAUAUGAUGCAAGCCAACAACCACCACCUCAUAACUCUAUGCCAUGUAUGAUAUGAUGAUAUGAAUACCAUACUAAUAAAUCUUGGGUCAUGCUUCUUAUACACCAAUACUCCAAAUAACUAAGGAUCUAAUAAACUAGAGGAUUUAUAAAAAAUUAAGGGAAAAUUACAAUUUUUUACCUGAAAGAUUGAAAAUGUAUAGGAAUUUUUGUAAUUUAAAACUUUCAAAUAUAUCUACAAAAUGUGGUCUGCACUUUUCAAAUAGAAUAAUGUUGAAAGUCAUCAAUUUUUCUUUCUUGCACCUUAAAUCUCAUUUAAUUUGGACCCAUGUUAUUUCAUGAAGAAAUCUAGAGCCCCAAAGCAGAGUCAGAUCUUUCGUUGAUGGAAGAAAUCGUUCGCUGACAUAUCCAGGAACCUUGGGCAUUGCAGCACCGAAGCACUGGGAACAUGCUAGGGUUGAAGAAUUCAGUGGAUCUAAAAUGCGCUCACUAAACCAUUGCCGAAUCGUGCAGAAGAACUCAUGUGAAGAGUUGUCCAAAUCAUUGGGGGAUGGACUUAAGCUGUGAUACCUUCACCAGAGGAAGCUUUCUGAGAUCGGAGAUCGAUUUUGUUUGGCAUUUCAAUGAUCUUAGAGUGUAUUUCGGUAUUAAGAACCCAGACGCAUAGCAUUUUAUUCCACCACAUAAUAUUUGAAAGGAACACCAGUGUGACCACUGGCAAUGGAGCUUGCUACGCUUCACUUUCGGGGGCUUAAACUAGUGCCACCACUUUGAGUACAAGGUCUCCCAGCGCACCGGAAGUAGAAAAGGACGGAAGCUGCACAACACAAUUCUUGCACUCAUCGCUGACAGACAGCUUAUUACUGCCAGUGUAUGGACAAUCAAAGUGUAUAGUGGCAACUUUGAAGCCCUUCGUAUAGAUGUCAAAUCCACCUGUAGUCCCAGAUGGAGAACCUUGCCUUCCACAUGCAGCAAAUGCCGGGUUGGGAGAGGUUGCUCCAGCAGCAAUGGUUAUCCCACCUGGUGCACUGCCAUCAUUGUUCUUAUUUGGGUACUUAUACCACUUUCCAUAUGAUAAGAAGGAGUUUUUCACUUCUAAGGUGUCUCGUCCCAGGUUUGUGAUCUUGAAGGAUACCCACUGAGGAUAUCCUCCCAACUUUCCAUCUGCAUUACACAUGUAUUUGUAAGCCCAGCAAUUAAACUUGAGUUACGAACCGGUGACUUGAAAGAUAGAAACCGAGUCCUCUUCUCCAGCCGAAGCAGCAGAAGCUAAGCUCCCAAUGGAUAUGCAAAGCAAUGCUAGAAGGAAAGAAGAACUCGACAUGAUUUCUUGCAAAUUUGGAUUUGGGCUUGCAAAUUUAUACUCCCUAAAUAUCACUUUUUAAACGUUCAACAAUGGUUAUGGAAUCUAAAACAAAGCACAAAGUUCUAAAACUUGAACCAUUUUUAAACAGGUUAGUGUCCUCAAAAGGUUUAGACUAAGGAACAAUAUGUGGCAUAAUUGUCAGUCCCACGUGAAAGAUUGCGACGUAUAACGACGUUUAGCUUUCCAACACUAGAGUAUAAUUAUCAUAGAAGAAAAUUGAAACGAUAGAUCGUCACCUAUUUCAGCUGAAUUCUUCCGUGAAAUGGUCGUUGUUUAAGAAAUGCAGUACCAACGGGAGCAAGAGUUCACGGCGAGAUCCUCCAAUUUUGCAGCAAAAUCAGGAAUCUGUUGCGUGCAAAAGAGAUUUACGAAUUCGGGGGGAGUGACGAUUGUGCAGCAAGCAGCUGCACAAUCCAUCCAUGAAUUUGGAUGGAUCCAUGCACAUCCAUGAAAUUGGAAAUCCAGAUGUUUGGAAGACGUGGGAGCUUGCAAGAAGCAAGAGAGAGAUCGCAUGGGAUCUGCAAGGAAUCGUUUCUUGUGGAACAACAUGAUUGCUGCGCAGGAUAUGCCAAAACGGCAAUCGGGAGUGAAGGAAUUGCUAUGGGAGACAAGAACAUUGUAGCCUGGAACACAAUGCUCCAGGCAUACAAUCAGGUCAAAGAUAUUGAAAAGGAAAGAUAAUUUGAUGCAAUGCCGGAUAAGUUUAGUGGACUACGAUUCUUACAGCAUAUGCCCGGUGUGGGUAUUUGAUAAAAGCGAAGCUAAUCUGUGAUUCGAUGACACUUUUUCCUGGAAUUCAACGAGGCCUUUUCUAACGAAGUCCCGAGCACGCCUCAUGACGUGGAAUUGGCUAUCUUUUAAAUGCCAAAGCCGAGAGAGUUGUUUCGUCCAUCGUUAGAGCAUAUGCCCGGAGCGGGCAUACGACCAGAGCCAAGCGGAUGUUCGCUGCCUUCUUGGGAAGAAAGAUCUCAUCGCCUGGAACACGCUGAACACGGCCUUGUCGCAUUGCCAGGAUCACGGCAGAGACACCAUCAACGUGGCGUUUGAUCCCGAGCAUUCGGCGUUUGUGAGCGUUCUUGGUACUUGCGGCCAGCUUGGGCUGUUCUAGUGGGGAUGGAGCUACUUUCGAAACAUGCCCAAUGAUCACCGCCAUGUGGAUCUCUGCACUUGAUCUGGUCAACUAGCUGCCGAGGAUCUCAUAUCCAGCACGUCCCGGAUGGAGCCUGGCAGCAGGAGUCAAGAGGAUCCACAAUGAGCAGAUGUGAUUCAUUGUUUUGUGAUUCCAAUGCGUGAUAGGAGAUAGUCAAAACGGGAUCCAACGUAUACAUCUCUCUCCAAAAGUAGUAGUGUUUUAUAAUUUUACAAAAACUUACGAGCGAUUUAUUCUUUCCUGGAGUUCAGAAAUCAUCCUCAAUGCUGAUGCUUCUUGGAAAAAUUAAGAUAUAAAUAUCUUUGAAAUGUCCAAGGCAUCUGUUCUUCACUCUUAUUAUCAUCACGAAGGAUUUUGCGCCGCCUGGCACCAGUUGCACUUUGAAAGAGAAAUUUGCCGCAGGAGUGAUUGUUUCCUUCAAGCUGGAAUGAAACCUAAGUUUGCUCAUAAAUCUAGAUGUUUGUAAUAAUGUAUUUAUGGUCUUGGGUGCUUUACAAGUUGACUACAAGAAUUACAAAGUUUGACUCUCAAAUGAUAUGUAAUAAAUUUUCUUUGGUAACACGUGUUUGAAGGCUUAGUGUAAACUUCGUCAUUUUGAUAUUUUUUUAUCUAUACUUGUGAGGGCCAAGUGUAUGGCUACGAUGCCGUAUAUUAAUAUUAGCAUAGUGGGAUUUUGGUAGCCGUCGGAUUGGUUUCAAUCCGGACCACUCGCUCCUAUAUAUAAACUAGGGUUUUUGGGCUAAUUGAUAUGCACAUUUCUGUAUUCCCUUUCCAUAUUCCAGGCACUCACAUUGGUGGAGGUGAGGGGCACCUUUGAUUGUCCCUGAGGAGUACUUGGAUUUGGGAUUUUGGUUUAGAUCUAGCUUUUGCAUCAUCUAGAUCUAGUUUUUUCCAUUUCCUUUCUUUUGUUCUUUCUUUUCAGUAUUUUGGUUUAGAUCUAGCUUUUUGCAUUGUCUAGAUCUACCAUUUCUUUCCAGCUUUUUGUCAUUUCUCUUCUUUUGCUCUUUCUUUUUCGUUCAUCUUCAUGGCCGAUCCGCAAUCUCCUCCUUUGACUCUAGAGCAGCAGCCUCCUGCUCUUGGUGCCAAUCCUCGCGUUCGGCCGGAGUUCUUUCGUGGGAAUCCUAGGGAUGUGUGAGACACAAAAUCCCUAGGCCCCAAAGUGGAGCCGGAAGGGCGCCACAUGGUAGUGGCCGAAGCGAGAGCCAAACGAGCGUAACACGUUUGGACCAAAAGCUCUGACUUGAAAAGUCAAGAGCGGGAGUGGAACUCCCAACGAAGUGCUCGAGGAACGAGCACGAAGCGAGCAAAAGGCGAGGCUCCAAAAAGGGACCCAAAAGGACCAACACAUGACACGUGGGAGUGUCUGAGAUGGACUCGAGUUGGAGUCCGAAGUGGAGUCCGAGGUGGACUCGAGAUGGACCCGAGUUGGAGUCCGAAGUGGAGUCCGAGAUGGACCCGAGAUGGAGUCCGAGAUGGAGUCCGAAGUGGACCCGAGAUGGACCCGAGUUGGAGUCCGAAGUGGAGUCCGAGAUGGACCUGAGAUGGAGUCCGAGAUGGAGUCCGAGGUGGACCCGAGAUGGACCCGAAAUGGAGUCCGAGAUGGAGUCCGAGAUGGAGUCCGAGAUGGACCCGAGAUGGACCCGAGAUGGAGUCCGAGAUGGAGUCCGAGAUGGAGUCCGAAGUCGAGACCGAGACCGGGACCGAGACCGAGACCGAGACCGAGAUCGGGACCGAGACCGAGACCGAGGCCGAGGCCGAGACCGAGCCCAAGCCCGAGUCCGAGUCCGAGUCCGAGUCCGAGUCCGAGUCCGAGUCCGAGUCCGAGUCCGAGUCCGAGUCCGGAGCCUGAGAGGGUGAAAGCCCAAAGCGUUCGUCUCCCAGACCCUGGGGGGUUUGGUGAGCUCCAAAAGUAUAGUAGGGGGAGGACUGCAGUGGAGCCAGUUUGGCCAGGAAAGGCUAGUUUGGCCCAGGAAGGCCAGACCCAGUGUUGGGUGAUGAGCUGCCCACUGGGAAGUCCAAGACUAGAGUGAACACAGACCGACAAGCGGGGUAGCUUGGUGAAGUGUUCAAGAGCCGGCUCUAGUUCCCCCGGGAGAUCGAUUGGCUGAUGCUCCCAGUCCAAGUGUGGGUGGCACUACCUACUUGGAUACCUGGUGUGGCUCAACGGAACCCGCUCUAAGCCCAUGGCUAGAGCACCCAAGGGCAGAAGGCGAGGAGGGUACCCAGGUGGCUCGCGUAAGGCCACGGUGUUCCGAAAUGUUGUCCCAAAGGCCCAGACUGUGGAAAGGAAGAGGAGCAGUCCUCUGGGGUAGUGACCAAGGACACAGUCGUGUGGUGAGGAAGUCCCAGAGGACCGUGGGACUUAGUGGUCGGGCCUGUGGGUCUCGAUCUAGUGGCAGUGUUGGCAAACACGGCCAGGGGCAAAAAGGGACUUAGUGGGGACUGACAGAGGGAUAUUGGGGAAGGCUAUUCCCCUUGUCGGUGGGCAUCCUAAGGAUGCUAAGGAGUGGAUCUGAGAUGACCACUCACGGAUGGUUUGCCUAGUCUUGGAGGGCCAAGACGGUGAUGCAAGUGGUGUUGGACCACCAGUGUGACCAAGGUAAAUGGGCAUGGCCUUAGCGUAACGGGCCGGUACGUCGGUGAUACCUUGGGGUGUCGAUCAUGGGAUCGGACAUGUGGAGCACUUGGACCAAGUGCUAAGGUUGAGUGGCAUAGAUGCCAUUCUCGGGGCUAGCAAGCCCCAAGUCCUGAGUUGGACUUAUGGAAGUUGUCAAUGAGACUCCUCCAAGUGGUCAGACGUGUGGUUAAGUGACUAAAGUAAAAUGGAAAAUUUAGUCGCUUACAAUUUGGUAUCGGAGCUGUUCCUUAGUCCGACUUUUAUUGGUGCUCAAGUAUAUCACCACUAGUGUUGGCAUCGGAAGGUCCGAGGAGUGGGCCUAUCCUUGAGGAGUAGCAAGUUGGAAAGACAUGGCUCUCCAUUACAGUUUAUGUGUGAACUUGUAGACGAGGUGGUGGAUAGAAAAGGGCCAAUAAUGGAACGACUUUGGGAUCUUGGGAACAGUGCAAGGUUUUCCUCAUUGAGUUGAGGAUGUGAUCCGGAUGAGCAUUUGUCUCAGCAAAUUGGCUUAGGUUGUUGUGGUAAACAACUAAAGUUGGGAUCACGGGAAAGAUAGAGACUCCAAAAAAAUAAAGGAGUCACAAGAUUAUCCUCAUAUAGUUGAGGUUGGUGCUCAUGAAUGUGAGACCAAAGGUAAUGACCGUGGAAGGUCAAAUACGGAAGAAGACUCAAGUCCUUGAAAUGGUAGCCGGGGCUACCUCUAAUAAAUGCUGGAACAACCCAAGGAGUUGGGGGUGUAUUAAGUGGAUGAGUUGGUAUUCUCAUCACAUGGACAAGUAGUCCUAAGGGGCAAAGGUUGCCCCCAGAGAACAAAAUCAAGUGUCGGAGUAACACUUGUGAAAAUAGUCCUUUUGAGUAGGACCGGAAUGCAAGAAGUGUAUUCCAGUGAGCUAAUGCCUCACAAGUAGGACCUUACGGGUCGGUGGAUUAACCAAGUCCAAAACUGCUAGACGACUCAAGUAGAGUCAAGGGAUGGUCCUAAAAGGACUGAUAGAAGCAUUUGGACUGAGGCGCGUUGUACCCCACAAAGGAUGGGGGGGGAUCAUAGGAUCCAAGGAUGAGAACAGAGAGUAUCUCAUCGAUGGCAAAAUGUGCCAUGCUAAAGUUAUGGGAAAGGUGUUCCCAGAAGAAAACAACUUUGACACAAAGUUGUGUGUGACCUCUAUGGUGUAGUGCUAACGGAUGGUUGGCAUGAGAAAGAGCGGUGUUGGUCUUGGCAAAGACUUAAACACGAAGGGGAAGUGUCAUAGAGGUAGGCUCGUGGAGCUGAUGGUGUGGAGACACCAAAUGUGCCAAGGUGUGAUACCUUGAGGCUAUGUUGGUGGGUUCAUGAGAACCCCUUGCCAAAGGAAUCCCAAUGGAAAUGGGAAUGGCAUAGCCUAAGCGGCAGAGCAUGCAGUUGGAGUGCGGUGACCCAGAUAAUGAUGGAGGUGUGCAAGCACCAAGCAAUGGGUUGUAGGACUUGACAACUAUGAGACAACUAAGCAAGAGGUGCAAAAUAACUGGUUAAACGGGUAGAAGGUAGCUACCCAAGACUUCUAGUAUAGGGAAGUCGGAUAUACCCUUACGGGGGAUAAGUUGCUUAUGUUGCGAUAUAGUAAGUCAAUGUCAUAAAAGGAAAUACUCAUUGUCAAGAAAGCCAUCAUUGGGACACCCGAACACUCUAGAACACUAGAAGGUGGUGUUUGAGGUCGCGAGGGCAAUGGAUAAAGCCCAAGGGACUAAGUCCCUAGCGAAUGAUGGAUAGAAGGUGCUAUCCAAAUGUCCAAGGUUGCGGAGACAGGAGAGGACUGUCUACCCAAAUUGGACAAAGCCAAAAAUGGAAUUUUGGCAAGGCUAGUGAUGGGCAUGUAAAGGCCCAUAAGCAACAAUGUAAUCCCAGUGUGUGGGAUUAUAAGCUGAGCAUACCCGGAUUGAGGAACCACUCCCUGGGCUAUUGGGUAGGUUCAUCCCUAAGAAUACUUGCUAAGGCAUGAUAGAAAGUGCAAAGCUAUCCUCCUGGUCUGGAGGAGAAUGACCGAAGGAAAGGUGUGAAGCCAAAGGCAAGUAGUAUUGGGAUGGAACUGAACCAUAGAAAUCAAAGGGCAUAUCCAACAGUGGUUAUGAAAGUUGGGAGUGGAGAAUCAAGAGGGUGCUCGAGGAUGUUAUUGCUAGCAACCGUGAUGCCAUGGAGAGUCUAAAAUAUGGAAUUGUCCAUGUUAGACUAUAUGGCAACUAUAAAGCUUGCGAAAGGGGAGGCCUUAGCAAGCUGAGGGACAGAGUUCCUUCAAGGUUCCCAAAGACGAUUCUAGGUAGAAUAGUACUUAGAAAGGCCAAGUGUAAAUGGUUCAUGGAACGCGCGAAAUCAGAGUGGCGCAGCAGAAGCGUGGUCUUGAAGCUUGCCAUGAGGCAAGGUUAUCAAGGUUAGGGAAGUAGUUCCCGAGUGUUCAAAGAGAGGGCUUUGAACGAAAGUCGAUGGUCAAGGACUUUCACGCUUAUGCAGGAACCAUGUUACAAUGGUCGGAGGACUUGCCAAGUGAGAUUGGCACGUCGGGGGAACAAAGACCCUAGUUGAAGGUGAUAUCUUCAAAAAGGGUGGGCCAGGGGGCCGAGUAUGGAGGAGUCCAUGCAUGAUCACAGACAUGUCAAGUGAAAGGACUUGGCAGUGUGGAGGAACUAGGUUCCUAAGCUGUGAUCUGUAGCGCGCUUUAAAAAUAGGUUGGUGCACCGGCGUGGGGAGUCACGCCAGGCAUCUAGUGUGAUGCCGUCCGUAGAUGCAUAUACGGAGGUUGGGUUCGAGUCCCAAAUCACUAGGGCGUGGUGAUGGUUUGGAAUAUGAGGACACUCAUAUUUCGGUGGUCAUGGACUCUCAGUGGGGAGACUGGUUUGGGCACACCGCCAAGCGAGGGAUGCCUCGGAGUCGUGAUGCACGGUUAGAUUGCUUAGUGUGAAAGCUCAACAUAUCUAACUUGAACACUUUGGUGCAAGUGGCACCAAGGUCGUGGUGAGUGAGAUGGGGACACCUAAUCUCUGUUGCUAUGAACCCUUGGCCAUAAGGGCUAGCUUGGGUGCACCGCCAAGUGUGGGGGAUGCCCCCGGGGUUAUAGUCAACAACUUGGAGGUCUAGAAAACCAAGUACCUCUUGGCAACUCUGUUAAGGUGCCAAGGUGAGAUCACUAGGUGAUCUUAUGGCCAGAUAAGGACAAGGUCCCUGGUUGGCUAAGGAAUGAAGUUCCUGGUUCAAAAUGUUGAAAUUGAACUGUUUAAGGUGGUGUGGCUUGGUCAUGAUAACCAAGUGGGAAGAGCACCUAAGGGAAAUAAACUAUGUCCGUGCGAUGGCAUAGUGAGUCCGAGGAAAGUAGUCUCUAUAAAAGACCCAUGGGAGGGUCACGAAGUUGGGCCGUGGAUAGAGCCCAUAGCAGAAGAUGCUAAAGAGACGUACUAGGGGUGAACAUCCUCCGGACUUGGCAAAGAAGAGUCUUUGCUAUGGAACCGAAACAAUACCUCAAGGAGGGAGGUAGAGAUUCGAUGUUGCUUGGUGCAACAAUCAACGGAUAUGAGCAAAAGAUGAGUGGCCAAGAUAGAGCCGUGGAAUCCCUUGGAAGGAAUCCAAGUGACAAAGUUAGGCGAGGAACACUAAUGUGUUGGACGCUAACAAGUUGCGGGAAAGGAAGUGUGUUUCCAAGGAGGGAUUCCGAAAUGCUCCGAGUUGGUGAAAGUGGAAGCUCCAAGGGAGGGAGCGGUAAGGUAGCCAAAUGAUAGGGCCAUGAACAGCCCUAGCACAAAGUAUGAUAACUGGAACUUUGGCACGAAAUAGAAGAGAGGAUGAUGGUGCCCUCGAGUAGAGAACUUCCUAGGAUGGGAAGUGGAGUUGCACAAAAGGUGCAAGGCAAGGUGUCAGAGACACCUAGGAAAUUGACUCCAAGAAGUCAAAAUUCAAAGUUCCAAAGUGCAAAGGUUAUAUCGAUGGAAAUUGAGACUACUCGAGAAGGAGUAGUGGGAUUGACUUAGAGAAGGGUCUCUAAGAGGUUUAGCGAGAACUAAACCAAUAAAAGGAGAGAACCAUUACAUGUGGUCCAAUCAGUCUCUAAGUUGGAGAGACUACGCUCCUUAAAGGAUGGACAAGGCAUGGUGAGCCUUUGAUGUCAAACCAUAGACAAAGAUUGGCUAGGUGCCAAGGAUGGAAAUGGUAACACGUGUGGGUGUUACUUUAUGAAAGGGUUUACCGUUCGAUGAGGACAUCGAACUUCGUCUAUGGGUGGUGGAGUUGUGAGACACAAAAUCCCUAGGCCCCAAAGUGGAGCCGGAAGGGCACCACAUGGUAGUGGCCGAAGCGAGAGCCAAACGAGCGUAACACGUUUGGACCAAAAGCUCUGACUUGAAAAGUCAAGAGCGGGAGUGGAACUCCCAACGAAGUGCUCGAGGAACGAGCACGAAGCGAGCAAAAGGCGAGGCUCCAAAAAGGGACCCAAAAGGACCAACACAUGACACGUGGGAGUGUCUGAGAUGGACUCGAGUUGGAGUCCGAAGUGGAGUCCGAGGUGGACCCGAGAUGGACCCGAGUUGGAGUCCGAAGUGGAGUCCGAGAUGGACCCGAGAUGGAGUCCGAGAUGGAGUCCGAAGUGGACCCGAGAUGGACCCGAGUUGGAGUCCGAAGUGGAGUCCGAGAUGGACCCGAGAUGGAGUCCGAGAUGGAGUCCGAGAUGGAGUCCGAGGUGGACCCGAGAUGGACCCGAAAUGGAGUCCGAGAUGGAGUCCGAGAUGGAGUCCGAGAUGGACCCGAGAUGGACCCGAGAUGGAGUCCGAGAUGGAGUCUGAGAUGGAGUCCGAGAUGGAGUCCGAAGUCGAGACCGAGACCGGGACCGAGACCGAGACCGAGACCGAGAUCGGGACCGAGACCGAGACCGAGGCCGAGGCCGAGACCGAGCCCAAGCCCGAGUCUGAGUCCGAAUCCGAGUCCGAGUCCGAGUCCGAGUCCGAGUCCGAGUCCGGAGCCUGAGAGGGUGAAAGCCCAAAGCGUUCGUCUCCCAGACCCUGGGGGGUUUGGUGAGCUCCAAAAGUAUAGUAGGGGGAGGACUGCAGUGGAGCCAAUUUGGCCAGGAAAGGCCAGUUUGGCCCAGGAAGGCCAGACCCAGUGUUGGGUGAUGAGCUGCCCACUGGGAAGUCCAAGACUAGAGUGAACACAGACCGACAAGCGGGGUAGCUUGGUGAAGUGUUCAAGAGCCGGCUCUAGUUCCCCCGGGAGAUCGACUGGCCGAUGCUCCCAGUCCAAGUGUGGGUGGCACUACCUACUUGGAUACCUGGUGUGGCUCAACGGAACCCACUCUAAGCCCAUGGCUAGAGCACCCAAGGGCAGAAGGCGAGGAGGGUACCCAGGUGGCUCGCAUAAGGCCACGGUGUUCCGAAAUGUUGUCCCAAAGGCCCAGACUGUGGAAAGGAAGAGGAGCAGUCCUCUGGGGUAGUGACCAAGGACACAGUCGUGUGGUGAGGAAGUCCCAGAGGACCGUGGGACUUAGUGGUCGGGCCUGUGGGUCUCGAUCUAGUGGCAGUGUUGGCAAACACGGCCAGGGGCAAAAAGGGACUUAGUGGGGACUGACAGAGGGAUAUUGGGGAAGGCUAUUCCCCUUGUCGGUGGGCAUCCUAAGGAUGCUAAGGAGUGGAUCUGAGAUGACCACUCACGGAUGGUUUGCCUAGUCUUGGAGGGCCAAGACGGUGAUGCAAGUGGUGUUGGACCACCAGUGUGACCAAGGUAAAUGGGCAUGGCCUUAGCGUAACGGGCCGGUACGUCGGUGAUACCUUGGGGUGUCGAUCAUGGGAUCGGACACGUGGAGCACUUGGACCAAGUGCUAAGGUUGAGUGGCAUGGAUGCCAUUCUCGGGGCUAGCAAGCCCCAAGUCCUGAGUUGGACUUAUGGAAGUUGUCAAUGAGACUCCUCCAAGUGGUCAGACGUGUGGUUAAGUGACUAAAGUAAAAUGGAAAAUUUAGUCGCUUACAGGAUGAUGUGUACCAUUGGUUUGAUCACUUCACGGUGAUUGCCACAUAUCAUUCUUAGGAUGAUGCUCGACAUUUGCGUGAGUUUCCCACGUGUCUCCAAGGGACGGCGUUGCAGUGGUACAAUGGAUUGAGUGCGGCCACUCAUGGGGAUUGGAGUGUUCUUCCGGACGUCUUCAAACGCGCCUUCGAACAUGCUGACGAUUGUGACGAUGCCUUCCAACAAUUGCAUCGUCUUCGCCAAGGGUCCUCUAAAUCGGUGAUGCAAUUUGGCGUUCGUUUCCGAAGUCUUUUGCUUCGUGCGGAGCCUAAUAUGUCGGAGCGGAUCAAGCUAGGAAUGUUGUGGCCAGCACUUCGUCAAGAUCUUGUCGGCCUUGUGCAUGCACUUGCUCCUACCACCCUUGACGAUACUUUUCACUUGGCACAACGUUAUGAGACGUCACCUCUUCCACUUCUUGCUGCAUGUCCUUCAGCUCCACUUCUUAUGAGUGAUGGUCCUGUUCCAAUGAAGGUUGAUGCUGCUGCUACUUGAGUCCAUGGACAAGGGCAUGGACGUGGUCGUGGCCAUGAUAUUCGUUGCUGGGUGUGUGAUGAAGUUGGUCAUACUUAUCAGUGUUGUCGGCACUUUCCGGAUUGGCGACCUCCAUUUCCUGGGUGGAAACCUUGGCGUCAGCAACGUCCUGUUGGUGCUGCUGCGGUGGAAGGUUUGGAUACCGAGGUGCAUCCAGGAAACGAGGAGUUGCACGAGUAAUGGAGGGACCUUACGCAAAUAAGUUAGUGACCCCUCCAUCUUUCUUCAGGAGUAUCAUCAAGGGGUUCACUUGGCACCGGUUCAUCCAGUGUUUACUUUCCAAGCUCGUUUUUAUAACAAGAGGUCUCCUAUUCUUCUCUCCGUAUUGGUUGAUACAGGUUCGAGUUUAUCUUCUAUUGCUCGACCUAUUGCCACACGUUAUCGUCUACACUUGCAUCGUGUGGCGGAUCCAGUUUUCAUUCUUUAUGGCAACGGCCGUACACAUGCAUGUGCACGAGAUGAGGCGGACCUGGUUGUGCGUGUGGGCAAUCUCAAGCUUGAGUUGUAGUCGUUGCGGGUGGUGCCGAGUUAAACUUUUGACCUCAUUCUUGGUAUGGAUUGGUUGCAGUGCAAUCAUGCCAAGUGUGACUUUGAGGCUUCUCCCCCUUGUCUCAUCCUUCCUUAUGUUUCAUCCAUUCCUCUCACUUCCGUACCUCUUCGUCCCUCUACUUUUACCUCUGCUUCCAUGACUUUUGUUCCCCCACUAUUUCCUCUUGUGUUUCCAUCUUGUUCUGCUCUUCCCUUUUCCGAUCCCUCUGAUGAUCUUUGUGUUGCAGCUGUUGACCAGCUCAUGAAGGAGUAUUCUGAUCUCUUUGAAUUUGACCUAUCGUCAGGGGCCAAGAUUGCCACAACCGGGGAUGCUCGUCCAAUCAAGGUUCCUGUUCGUCGUUGGUCACCCAAGGAGAUCAAGAUUUUACGUGCAAACGUCAAGGAGAUGUUGGAGAAGGGUGUUAUUCGGAAGUCGCAGAGUCCUUGGGCAUGUGAACCUCAUCUUGUAACGAAGCCUGAUGGGAGUAUUCGUUUCUGCAUCGACUAUCGUCCGUUAAAUGAACUGACGAUCCCGGAUGUGUACCCUCUUCCUCACACUGCUGAUCUCUUGGAUCGUCUGGGGCGAAGUUGUUGGUUCACCAAGCUAGAUCUUGCUUCUGGGUAUUGGCAAGUACCAAUGGCCGACAAAGAUAUUCCUAAGACUGCUUUUCAUACACCGUUUGGUUUGUACGAGUUCUCGGUGAUGCCGUUUGGUUUGAACAAUGCUCUAGCAACUUUCCAGCGGAUGAUGGACAAGGUUCUUUGUGAUAUACCAGAGGUGACUGCUGACUUCAUUGAUGAUGUCUUGAUUCACUCGGAGGGGACGUGGGCAGAGCACGUUCGUGAUGUGUGUAAAGUGUUGGAUCGGCUACGGGAUGUUGGUUUAAAGCUGAAGCGGUCGAAGUGCGUGUUUGGGUCCAAGGACACAACUUAUCUUGGGUACCGUAUUUCUCGUGAGGGUUUGCAAGUUGAUCCUGACAAACUCGUAGCCGUUCUAAAGUUCCCUACUCCGAAGUGUGUGAAUGAUGUGCAACGCUUCCUGGGAAAGGUGCAAUAUCUCGGUCGUUUUGUGGAUCAUCUUUCUGAUCGCACUGCACCGUUGCGAACGUUGUUGAAGUCAUCAACGUCAUCUUUCAUCUGGUCUUCAAAUUGUGAGCGGGCGUUUGUGGAUCUCAAAGUGCUGUUGACGACUCCUCCAGUUUUGGCAUAUCCUGACUACACUCGACCUUUUAUUUUGCGCGUUGAUGCUUCUAAUAUUGGUCUUGGAGGUGUGUUAAUGCAAAAGAGCCCGAGUGUGCCUGGUCAGCAUCAUCCCAUUGCAUAUAUAAGCUGUACGUUACAACCAGCAGAGGUGAACUACUCUUCGACAGAGAAGGAGUGUUUAGCGGCAGUUUGGGGUUUCAAGAAACUUCAUGCAUAUCUACAUGGUUCUCGGACAUUACUUGAAGGUGACCAUACUGCCGUUAUUUCAUUAUUGAAGCGGAAGAACCUGGUCGGUCGUACUGCUUGGUGGGCUUUAAAGCUUCAGAUAUAUGAUUUUGAUGUUGUUCAUCGCCCAGGGAGUUCUAUGGCUGAUGCUGAUGCCCUUUCUUGAAGUCCUCUUCCUUCUCCACUUUCUUCUCAUAUUUCUGAUGAGCCUGUUGUUCCAACAUCUGUGGAUUUUCUAGACGAGGAUUCAGUGCCGUCGGUGGUUGUUGUACUUGAUGUUCAGUGUCCACAAGGCGCAGAGCAAGAUCUACCUUCUCUUGAUGAGGUCCGUGAGGCUCAAAAGAUUGAGCCGUGGAUUCGAAGGCUUCAUGAUGCGUUUGAGGAUCCUGCAUCACUUGUGGAUGACUUGCCUUUCCGGCAUUUACAUUCUCAAUAUCGCCUUGAAGAUGGCCUUCUGGGGACGGAUCCUGAUGAUCAUUUACUGCCUUCUAUCUUUAUUCCAUGGUUUCUCCAUGCUUACCAUGAUUCUCCUGUUCUAGGUGGGCAUAUGGGAUAUCGCCGUGUGACUAAGAAGCUGUGUAGGUAUUUCUAUUGGCCAGAGAUGCGACAUGAUGUUAUCCGGUAUGUGCGUAGCUGUGUUUGGUGCCAAGCUCGUAAUACUCCCCCUUGUGCUGCGGAAGGACGGUUGGAGUCAAUUGCAAUUUCCCGUCCGUUUGAGUUGGUGGCGUUUGAUCUUAUGGGACCUUUUCCACAGUCGACUACUGGCAAUGAGUAUGUUAUUAUUGCUUCUGACUACUUGACUCGUUAGGUGGAACUGGUUGCUCCUCGGAUGGAAAGAGAGGGUCCUCUAUGCGAUGAGCACCUGGAGGCCGCAGAACAAGCAAGCUGGCUGAACUGCAGUAAGUUUCUCAUUUGUUCCUUCUUUAAGUUCUUUCUAUUCUAGUGUAUGUUAACGCUGACUAGUGCAGCAUCAGGGAUUCUCUGAUGAAGAGUGAUCUAAAAUCCCUGAAAGAGUGGAGCUCGGCUCGAUGGAAGAAGACCGAGUCCAGUCCAGAUUCUCCUGAAAUGCAAACAGGAAUAUGUAAAAAUGAUUGGUCAGGUUAGUAAAUCUUAGUGUCAAACGCCUUUGAAGGAAAGGUACUGCUUGAUAGUGAACCCUGUCCAAAGAGUAUUCACUUUCCAUACGAAGAGAAACGCAGUCAGACAGUGAAGUAUGAAAGUGAAAAAUAGUUCUAAGAAAUAAUUGCAUUUGGCACACUCAUUCCUUGUCAAUCAGUAAAUCUUCUAUCUGUCAUUAUCACACCAUAAGUGGCCCCUACAUAAUUAGAUUCAUGGCCUUGUCAGUAGAGCAGGAGUGUCUAUCCAAGAAUGGAGGGAGGUUUCUCAAUUUGCCUUUACAAGUGUCAGGAUCAAUGACCCGAUUUACCAUAGUCACAGAACAGGCAAGUAAUGUUCUUUUUCUUGAGCAAUAGGUUUGGUUAAUUCUCAUCUGGUGUAAAUGAUAAUUCUUGAUUCUUCAUCAGGAGAGGGAUCUAGAUGAGGUAAGGAAUGAUAUUCAACUCACACAACCACAUUGGGAAUGUUAUAUAAGGACUAGGGCUGGAAGGAAGACACUAAUAAAUUACUUGUUUUGUGGCUUCAAGGUUGCCCUUGAAUUUGAGCACAUCCAACGUUGUUUGAUGGUUUCUUGUUUUGUCAAGGGUGUUACAUUUUAUAUAAGUCUCUAUAUCUUGUUAAUGUUAUUUUUUAACAGAUGUAUUUGGUUUUUUUUUUAAAACAUUUUACAAUAAAAUCAAAGCCAUUCAAAAGAAUAUACUACAAAUAAAAUAAAAAACUUACAAAUAAUAUCUAUUUUAAUAUAUUUUAUAAUUCUCUUAAUCUAUUUUAGGUUAAAAGAAAAAAAAUUGGACAAAAUUUCAGGUAAAAUAUUUAUGUGAAAUUUAUAUAUUUAGAUCUCAAAGCAUUAGUAUAAUAUAUCAACAUGAUUUUAUUUAUAAGUUCUUCAAUUUUAAAUGUUGUUAAAGAUGUUUUUCCAUCAUAUGCACUUCCUCCUAGAAUUGUAAAAUAUAAUUAUGAAUUUAUAAGUCAUAAUAGUGAUAUAAAAGAUUUUAUUUGUAUGGAUGACAAUAUGGAAAUACCAAUAAUGAAUUGUAAAAUAUAAUAACUCAAUUACUUGAUGAUAGUAUCCAAUAAUCACAUACACUACAAAAGACAUAUUUAUGGAUACCCAAUAUAUACAACUUCAAUUAAGACUAUAAUAUUAUAUUUUAAAAAUUAUUAAUCAAUAAAACUUUAAAUCAUGUCAUUUAUUUUGAUAUUAUAUGUAAUGCACCCUAUCUCUUUCCCCUGAAUCCAACUGAAAAAGGGGUAAUUAUUUAAUGAAAAACCUUUAAUAACUAUUUAUCCUCAUUUCAGUGACAGUAUAUUUAAAUUUUAUCUUAUGAUCAUAAAUGUUAUAAUAUAAACACCUAAAUUACCAAGGAAAUAAUGUUUAAUAUCAUAAAAACAUUAUAUAAAGCCCAAGGGCAUAAAUUCAUAAAGAAUAAUAGAUAAUAGGUAUUAUUUAAAGUUAAAAAUUAUUAAAAGGUAAAACCAGAGGAAGCUAUCCAAAAUGGAUAAUGCCAAAAGGAUUUUAAUACAAAUAUAUGGGGCCUAUGAAUAAUAAUCAUGAUAUGUUGAAUUAUAAAUUGUGUAUAUCUAAAUUGAAAACCCACUCUUUAAGUCAUUGAGUAAAUUUAUCCUUAAAACACAUAUUAAGACAUGGAGGGUCAACACUAAUGGCCCAUUUCAUUAAAGAUAUAGUCAAAUAUUUUGAAACAUUAAACAAUUUAUAGUUCAAUUGUGAGGCAUUAUAUGUUUAUAUUUAUCUUUAUUUACUUUUUUUUUCUUCUCAUUUGACUUUUUUUGUUCUUGUUUCACUUCAUUUGAAUUUUGUUGCUGUUUGAAUUCAUUUGGGGGUCAAAGCAUGAAAGGGUGGGCCAGAAAAUAGACAUUUUUUAGUAGUUUAUAGUGAAUAUAAAUUUUAAUUUUUCUAUUAAAUCUUUUAUAAUUUUUAAAAUAUAAAUAAAUGUGGAAUGUAAUGUUGCAUAUAUCUACUUCAACAAAAAUUAAAAAUCGUUUUUUAAAUUUUAAGUUUUGGCUGAACAUCCUAAAAAGUCUUUUUUAUGAUCUCACCUUGACUUAGUUUUAAAACUUGGAGCUUGAUUUAUGAAUUGCACACUAUAAAUGAUUAUUGAGCAUUUUGCAAAUACACAUGAAUGCGUAGAGGCCAAGAUGUGUCUUCCAUUCAUGUAUGAUCAUGCAGUGAGUGUUGACAAGCCAUCAAGAAUCAACAUUGAUGUAGUUUUUGAAAGUAUAGCUACUUACCUAUGUAGUGCAUAUGAUAUUAAAGGGUACUCAGUGAUUCCAAAAAGUAAAGUGGUUGAAAUAACUUUGAUUGCUUGUGAAGUGGAAGAAUUGAAUGGGAGAUCAAAGAAGAUUUUGAAUUAAAUGUAAAUCCUCCUCAAUUAACUCCUCUUAAGCAAGAGCUUGUUAGAGAAGAUGCAUGGGUUAUUUAAUUUCUCUUGUGAUUUUCUUAACUUUGAUACAAAAUUAUCACUGCAUUUAGAGUACAUGCUAUAUGAUGCAAGCCAAUAACAACCACCUCAUAACUCUAUGCCAUAUAUGAUAUGAUGAUAUGAAUACCAUACUAAUAAAUCUUGGGUCAUGCUUCUUACAUACCAAUACUCCAAAUAACCAAGGAUCUAAUAAACUAGAGGAUUUAUAAAAAAUUAAGGGAAAAUUACAAUUUUCUACCUGAAAGAUUGAAAAUGUAUAGGAAAUUUUGUAAUUUAAAACUUUCAAAUAUAUCUACAAAAUGUGGUCUCCACUUUUCAAAUAGAAUAAUGUUGAAAGUCAUCAAUUUUUCUUUCUUGCACCUUAAAUCUCAUUUAAUUUGGACCCAUGUUAUUUCAUGAAGAAAUCUAGAGCCCCAAAGCAGAGCCAGAUCUUUCAUUGACGGAAGAAAUCGUUUGCUGACAUAUCCAGGAACCUUGGGCAUUGCGGCACCGAAGCACUGGGAACAUGCUAGGGUUGAAGAAUUCAGUGGAUCCAAAAUGUGCGCUCUUAAGCUCACUAAACCAUUGCCGAAUCGUGCAGAAGAACUCAUGUGAAGAGUUGUCCAAAUCAUUGGGGGAUGGACUUAAGCUGUGAUACCUUCACCAGAGGAAGCUUUCUGAGAUCGGAGAUAGAUUUUGUUUGGCAUUUCAAUGAUCUUAGAGUGUAUUUCGGUAUUAAGAACCCAGAAGCAUAGCAUUUUAUUCCACCACAUAAUAUUUGAAAGGAACACCGGUGUGACCACUGGCAAUGGAGCUUGCUACGUUUCACUUUUGGGGGCUUAAACUAGUGCCACCACUUUGAGUACAAGGUCUCCCAGCGCACCGGAAGUAGAAAAGGACGGAAGCUGCACAACACAAUUCUUGCACUCAUCGCUGACAGACAGCUUAUUACUGCCAGUGUAUGGACAAUCAAAGUGUAUAGUGGCAACUUUGAAGCCCUUCGUAUAGAUGUCAAAUCCACCUGUAGUCCCAGAUGGAGAACCUUGCCUUCCACAUGCAGCAAAUGGCGGGUUGGGAGAGGUUGCUCCUGCAGCAAUGGUUAUCCCACCUGGUGCGCUGCCAUCAUUGUUCUUAUUUGGGUACUUAUACCACUUUCCAUAUGAUAAGAAGGAGUUUUUCACUUCUAAGGUGUCUCGUCCCAGGUUUGUGAUCUUGAAGGAUACCCACUGAGGAUAUCCUCCCAACUUUCCAUCUGCAUUACACAUGUAUUUGUAAGCCCAGCAAUUAAACUUGAGUUACGAACCGGUGACUUGAAAGAUAGAAACCGAGUCCUCUUCUCCAGCCGAAGCAGCAGAAGCUAAGCUCCCAAUGGAUAUGCAAAGCAAUGCUAGAAGGAAAGAAGAACUCGACAUGAUUUCUUGCAAAUUUGGAUUUGGGCUUGCAAAUUUAUACUCCCUAAAUAUCACUUUUUAAACGUUUAACAAUGGUUAUGGAAUCUAAAACAAAGCACAAAGUUCUAAAACUUGAACCAUUUUUAAACAGGUUAGUGCCUCCUCGUGGUCCUCAAAAGGUUUAGACUAAGGAACAAUAUGUGGCAUAAUUGUCAGUCCCACGUGAAAGAUUGCGACGUAUAGCGACGUUUAGCUUUCCAACACUAGAGUAUAAUUAUCAUAGGAGAAAAUUGAAACGAUAGAUCGUCACCUAUUUCAGCUGAAUUCUUCCGUGAAAUGGUCGUUGUUUAAGAAAUGCAGUACCAACGGGAGCAAGAGUUCACGGUGAGAUCCUCCAAUUUUGCAGCAAAACCAGGAAUCUGUUGCAUGCAAAAGAGAUUUACGAAUUCGGGGGGAGUGACGAUUGUGCAGCAAGCAGCUGCACAAUCCAUCCAUGAAUUUGGAUGGAUCCAUGCACAUCCAUGAAAUUGGAAAUCCAGAUGUUUGGAAGACGUGGGAGCUUGCAAGAAGCAAGAGAGAGAUCGCAUGGGAUCUGCAAGGAAUCGUUUCUUGUGGAACAACAUGAUUGCUGUGCAGGAUAUGCCAAAACGGCUAUCGGGAGUGAAGGAAUUGCUAUGGGAGACAAGAACAUUGUAGCCUGGAACACAAUGCUCCAGGCAUACAAUCAGGUCAAAUAUAUUGAAAAGGAAAGAUAAUUUGAUGCAAUGCCGGAUAAGUUUAGUGGACUACGAUUCUUACAGCAUAUGCCCGGUGUGGGUAUUUGAUAGAAGCGAAGCUAAUCUGUGAUUCGAUGACACUUUUUCCUGGAAUUCAACGAGGCCUUUUCUAACGAAGUCCCGAGCACGCCUCAUGACGUGGAAUUGGCUAUCUUUUAAAUGCCAAAGCCGAGAGAGUUGUUUCGUCCAUCGUUAGAGCAUAUGCCCGGAGCGGGCAUACGACCAGAGCCAAGCGGAUGUUUGCUGCCUUCUCGGGAAGAAAGAUCUCAUCGCCUGGAACACGCUGAACACGGCCUUGUCGCAUUGCCAGGAUCACGGCAGAGACACCAUCAACGUGGCGUUUGAUCCUGAGCAUUCGGCGUUUGUGAGCGUUCUUGGUACUUGCGGCCAGCUUGGGCUGUUCUAGUGGGGAUGGAGCUACUUUCGAAACAUGCCCAAUGAUCACCGCCAUGUGGAUCUCUGCACUUGAUCUGGUCAACUAGCUGCUGAGGAUCUCAUAUCCAGCACGUCCCGGAUGGAGCCUGGGAGCAGGAGUCAAGAGGAUCCACAAUGAGCAGAUGUGAUUCAUUGUUUUGUGAUUCCAAUGUGUGAUAGGAGAUAGUCAAAACGGGAUCCAACGUAUACAUCUCUCUCCAAAAGUAGUAGUGUUUUAUAAUUUUACAAAAACUUACGAGCAAUUUAUUCUUUCCUGGAGUUCAGAAAUCAUCCUCAAUGCUGAUGCUUCUUGGAAAAAUUAAGAUAUAAAUAUCUUUGAAAUGUCCAAGGCAUCUGUUCUUCACUCUUAUUAUCAUCACGAAGGAUUUUGCGCCGCCUGGCACCAGUUGCACUUUGAAAGAGAAAUUUGCCGCAGGAGUGAUUGUUUCCUUCAAGCUGGAAUGAAACCUAAGUUUGCUCAUAGAUCUAGAUGUUUGUAAUAAUGUAUUUAUGGUCUUGGGUGCUUUACAAAUUGACUACAAGAAUUACAAAGUUUGACUCUCAAAUGAUAUGUAAUAAAUUUUCUUUGGUAACACGUGUUUGAAGGCUUAGUGUAAACUUCGUCAUUUUGAUAUUUUUUUAUCUAUACUUGUGAGGGCCAAGUGUAUGGCUACGAUGCCGUAUAUUAAUAUUAGCGUAGUGGGAUUUUGGUAGCCGUCGGAUUGGUUUCAAUCCGGACCACUCGCUCCUAUAUAUAAGCUAGGGUUUUUGGGCUAAUUGAUAUGCACAUUUCUGUAUUCCCUUUCUAUAUUCCAGGCACUCACAUUGGUGGAGGUGAGGGGCACCUUUGAUUGUCCUUGAGGAGUGCUUGGAUUUGGGAUUUUGGUUUAAAUCUAGCUUUUGCAUCGUCUAGAUCUAGUUUUUUCCAUUUCCUUUCUUUUGUUCUUUCUUUUCAGUAUUUUGGUUUAGAUCUAGCUUUUUGCAUUGUCUAGAUCUACCAUUUCUUUCCAGCUUUUUGUCAUUUCUCUUCUUUUGCUCUUUCUUUUUCGUUCAUCUUCAUGGCCGAUCCGCAAUCUCCUCCUUUGACUCUAGAGCAGCAGCCUCCUGCUCUUGGUGCCAAUCCUCGCGUUCGCCCGGAGUUCUUUCGUGAGAAUCCUGGGGAUGAUGUGUACCAUUGGUUUGAUCACUUCACGGUGAUUGCCACAUAUCAUUCUUAGGAUGAUGCUCGACAUUUGCGUGAGUUUCCCACGUGUCUCCAAGGGACGGCGUUGCAGUGGUACAAUGGAUUGAGUGCGGCCACUCGUGGGGAUUGGAGUGUUCUUCCGGACGUCUUCAAACACGCCUUCGAACAUGCUGACGAUUGUGACGAUGCCUUCCAACAAUUGCAUCGUCUUCGCCAAGGGUCCUCUGAGUCAGUGAUGCAAUUUGGCGUUCGUUUCCGAAGUCUUUUGCUUCGUGCGGAGCCUAAUAUGUCGGAGCGGAUCAAGCUAGGAAUGUUGUGGCCAGCACUUCGUCAAGAUUUUGUCGGCCUUGUGCAUGCACUUGCUCCUGCCACCCUUGACGAUGCUCUUUGCUUGGCACAACGUUAUGAGACGUCACCUCUUCCACUUCUUGCUGCACGUCCUUCAGCUCCACUUCCUAUGAGUGAUGGUCCUGUUCCAAUGGAGGUUGAUGCUGCUGCUACUCAAGUCCAUGGACAAGGGCGUGGACGUGGUUGUGGCCAUGAUAUUCGUUGCUGGGCGUGUGAUGAAGUUGGUCAUAUUUAUCAGUGUUGUCGGCACUUUCCGGAUUGGCGACCUCCAUUUCCUGGGUGGAGACCUUGGCGUCAGCAACGUUCUGUUGGUGCUGCUGCGGUGGAAGGUUUGGAUACCGAGGUGCAUCCAGGAAACGAGGAGUCGCGCAAGUAAUGGAGGGACCUUGCGCAAAUAAGUUAAUGACCCCUCCAUCUUUUUUUCAGGAGUAUCAUCAAGGGGUUCACUCGGCACCGGUUCAUCCAGUGUUUACUUUCCAAGCUCGUUUUUAUAACAAGAGGUCUCCUAUUCUUCUCUCCGUGUUGGUUGAUACAGGUUCGAGUUUAUCUUCUAUUGCUCGACCUAUUGCCACACGUUGUCGUCUACACUUGUGUCGUGUGGCGGAUCCAGUUUUCAUUCUUUAUGGCAACGGCCGUACACAUGCAUGUGCACGAGAUGAGGCGGACCUGGUUGUGUGUGUGGGCAAUCUCGAGCUUGAGUUGUAGUCGUUGCGGGUGGUGCCGAGUUAAACUUUUGACCUCAUUCUUGGUAUGGAUUGGUUGCAGUGCAAUCAUGCCAAGUGUGACUUUGAGGCUUCUCCCCCUUGUCUCAUCCUUCCUUAUGUUUCAUCCAUUCCUCUCACUUCCGUACCUCUUCGUCCCUCUACUUUUACCUCUGCUUCCAUGACUUUUGUUCCCCCACUAUUUCCUCUUGUGUUUCCAUCUUGUUCUGCUCUUCCCUUUUCCGAUCCCUCUGAUGAUCUUUGUGUUGCAGCUGUUGACCAGCUCAUGAAGGAGUAUUCUGAUCUCUUUGAAUUUGACCUAUCGUCAGGGGCCAAGAUUGCCACAACCGGGGAUGCUCGUCCAAUCAAGGUUCCUGUUCGUCGUUGGUCACCCAAGGAGAUCAAGAUUUUACGUGCAAACGUCAAGGAGAUGUUCAUCGCCCAGGGAGUUUUAUGGCUGAUGCUGAUGCCCUUUCUUGAAGUCCUCUUCCUUCUCCACUUUCUUAUCAUAUUUCUGAUGAGCCUGUUGUUCCAACAUCUGUGGAUUUUCUAGACGAGGAUUCAGUGCCGUCAGCGGUUGUUGUACUUGAUGUUUAGUGUCCACAAGGCGCAUAGCAAGAUCUACCUUCUCUUGAUGAGGUUCGCGAGGCUCAAAAGAUUGAGCCGUGGAUUCGAAGGCUUCAUGAUGCGUUUGAGGAUCCUGCAUCACUUGUGGAUGACUUGCCUUUCCGGCAUUUACAUUCUCAAUAUCGCCUUGAAGAUGGCCUUCUUUAUUUUGUGGGGACGGAUCCUGAUGAUCAUUUACUGCCUUCUAUCUUUAUUCCACGGUUUCUCCAUGCUUACCAUGAUUCUCUUGUUCUAGGUGGGCAUAUGGGAUAUCGUCGUGUGACUAAGAAGUUGUGUAGGUCUUUCUAUUGGCCAGAAAUGCGACAUGAUGUUAUCCGGUAUAUGCGUAGCUGUGUUUGGGGCCAAGCUUGUAAUACUCCCCCUUGUGCUGUGGAAGGACGGUUGGAGUCAAUUGCAAUUUCCCGUCCAUUUGAGUUGGUGGCGUUUGAUCUUAUGGGACCUUUUCCACAGUCGACUACUGGCAAUGAGUAUGUUAUUAUUGCUUCUGACUACUUGACUCGUUAGGUGGAAGUUGGUGCUCUUGCUAGCGCCUCUGCAACUGCUGUUGGAUACUUUCUCCUCAAUCGAGUGGUGUUCCAACAUUCUUGUCCAGAGCGGAUUCUUUCGGAUAAUGGUCUUGCAUUUAUAUGGCUGAGGUAUUUCAUGUUUUGAUGUCUCGGUUGGGGAUACGCCACACUUUUACGAGUGCUUAUCAUCCACAAUCAGAUGGUCUGGUGGAACGGCUCGUUCGGACGUUCAAAGGGAUGAUUGCGAAGUAUGUGAACUUUCAACAUUCGGAUUGGGAUGGUUAUUUGCCGUCUCUUCGGUAUGCCUAUGUCACAGGGGUGCAGAGUUCUGUUGGUGCUUCACCAUAUAAACUUCUAUAUGGUCAUGAUCCAAUAUUACCAACGGAGCUGGGUUUACCUUCACGAUUGCCACGAGCUCCUGAUGCUAGGUCAUAGGAUCACUAUUUGACGAGCAUUCUUCCACUUGUCCAAGCAGAGUCUGCCGAACACUUAGGCCGCGUACAAGUGGGACAACAAUGGCACUACAACUCCUAUCACCGUCCACCUGCAGAGUACAAAGUGGAUGAUUUGGUGUUAGUCCGUUUUCCCCAUCUUACAGUACGUGGUUUAUCUAAGGGGCUCCUUGCACAGUGGAAAGGACCAUAUCAGGUGUUGCGGCAAGUUGGACCUCAAGUUUAUGAGGUUCGGUAUGACGUCCAGCGGGCCGAUCCUCUGGAGAUUGUGCAUGUGCAGCGGUUGAAACGCUUCAUACAAAGGGAUCAGGAGCAGUUAAUGCCGUCUACAGAUCCGCCGAUGCCUCCUCUUGACGUUCUUCUCCUCUAGAUCCCGGCCCAUCUACAAGAGAACCCUGAUAGCCUUCCAUUAUUCCGAGAGGAGGGGAUGAUGUGAGGGCCAAGUGUACGGCUACGAUGCCGUAUACUAAUAUUAGCGUAGUGGGAUUUUGGUAGCCGUUGGAUUGGUUUCAAUCCGGACCACUCGCUCCUAUAUAUAAGCUAGGGUUUUUGGGCUAAUUGAUAUGCAUAUUUCUGUAUUCCCUUUCCAUAUUCCAGGCACUCACAUACUGAUAUAUCUUCUCUAAAUCUCUUUAGAAUUUUUUAGCAGCAUAAACCUUUUUAUGGCUUUCUCAAAACCCAAUUUUAAGUCUAUAUCAUUUUCAUUUGGGCAUAUACUUACAAUUUUACAUAGCUUUAAUAAGUUUUCUGUAAUUGUUUUUUCUGUGAUAUUGUACCACUUGUGUGUAGCUUCCCACUUGUAUAAUUUUGUAUUGUAUAUCAAGUGUGAAUGUGUUAAUCAUGUCUGCCAUUUUUUAUAGGAAUUCAUCUAUAUAAAAACUUCUUAAAACUUCAUGAAACUUCCAGGGGUAUUUUUGUAGUUUUCAAUCUUUUGAGGGUAAAAUUAUUUUCGGGUGCCAAGGUGUGAAUAUUCAGUAUCAAGAAUAUGGACAAAAUUUUAAAUUCUAAUCUGUAUGCAAAAGUCAGCAUUAUGGCAGACUUAAAUGACUCCUCAACUUUACUUAUACAGAUAAGAUAGAAAGGUUUGAUCUAUUAUCAUGUUGAUCUUGUUGUUGGUGACCCUAUUAAGUAGCAUCCCUCACUCGAGCCCUCAAAUAAUUGUUGAUCCAGGCAUAGGAGGGAGAAUACGUCGUGAAUACUUUCCAAUCAUCAUAGGCAGCCUUGCCAGCUUGGUGACGAACAUCCACCAACACAUGACGACACCCUUAGAUGCUACCAACUUAUCUUUGCAUUUCAGAACCUCCUACAUAUAAUGUUGAACAACUUGUAUGCAACAGGAGCAAACUAUAUUACAAUCAUUAAUGGAAGAUUUGGGAUGGAGUAUGUGCUUGACGAGGCAACCCAACAAGACUCACGUCAGAGCUCUAUGCUUGGGUCAUGCUUCCCAAGAAGGUAGAUUCUUUCAGGAUCUCGACUCGAUCGAUCAUACAUUCUUUCUCCUCAGGUGGACUAUCGAGGAACCCUAAACCUCGUGGAAGCGUGCCGCAAGAAUGGGAUCAAGAGAUUCGUGCUCGUAAGCUCCAUUCUCGUGAAUGGCUAUUGUCUCUAUCCCCAGCGAUGAGCGCCGAUCUAGUGUCAAAGCUGCGCGCGGCGCUUCUCCAUCACCAGGUUCGUCUCGAUCCAGUGCCGCAGCGCCAGCACGUCGAGGAUCCCAACGAUCCCACGCUCGCUUACAUUUCCCGGAUGCUUCUGGACGAGGAGGAGGAGCCGCCGCAGAUGAUCCAGCUCCAGGAUGCCUACAAGAAUCUCAUCGCGGAGCUUGCCGCGCUGGUGUCUUCGCCCGGCGGCAGUGGGAAUCUCAUCCAUCCAGACGAUUCUGGAAAUAUUUCGGUGCCAGACGUCCACGAAUCCAGGACGGGGUUCCUGAAAUCGAUGCUCCUGGAAGCGGCUCGAGCGGUGGCGGGGAAUCGUGGCUCCGAGGUCUACAGGAUCAUCAGCGAGGUGAGGAGCCUGGCAUCGCCAGAGGGCAGCAGUGAAGAACGCACGGCCUUGUUCUUCGCGGAUGCCCUGAUUGCGCGCUUCACAGGGUUUGGGUCGCAGGUCUACAGCGCCAUGGUGAAAGGGAUUCGCGAGAGGCACUCGGUCCACGUCCGGAUGCUCAAUCUCCCAUCCUUCAGGGUCACCCAGCGAUUUGCCAACGGCACCAUUCUAGACUUUUGCCAAGGAGGUACGAGAAUUCACAUCAUCGACUAUGGGAUCCACUAUGGCUGCCAGUGGCCCCAGCUCAUCCAGAGGCUCUCGCAGCGGCCAGAGGGACCGCCGGCGAUGAAGAUCACAGGGAUCGACUUUCCUCGCGUGGACGUCAAGGAGACAGAGAGAAACCUCGUGGAGUAUGCCAAGAGCUGUGGAAUCUCGCUCGAGUUUGAGGCGAUCACGAGCACGUCCUGGGAAUUGGUCCAGCCCAAGACUCACGUGAAUGACUUGCUCAUCGUCAACUGCAACCUCCGCAUCCGGCAUUUGCGAGAAGAUGGCAGCGUCGGCGACAAUCCGCGAAAGCUCUUCUUCGAGAAGGUCUACACCCUCAAGCCGGACCUGUUCAUACAGUGCGUGGUGGAUGCCGGCUCCAACUUGAGCUCCCCUUUCUUCAUCCAACGUUUCGAGGGGGCUCUCGAGAGUUUCUUCAUGACGAUGGACCUGUUUCAGACUCUGCUGCAAGAGGAGAUGUCGGAGGAGUACGAUUACAUAGGGAACAUCAUGGCAAAGACGAUCAUGAACGUGGUGGCUAUGGAGGGCGUUGAAAGGUUGGAGCGGCCAAAUUCUUACAGGAGCUGGGAUUCGAGGGCUAGACGAGCUGGAUUUGAGCAGGAACCAGUUAGGCCGAAAGCGGUGGAGCUGGUUAAGGCAGCGUGGUGCAGCAGUAAGCCCAAUUGCAACUUCAAGAUGGGGAUGGAUGGGAACUGGUUGCUACUCGGAUGGAAAGAGAGGGUCCUCUAUGCGAUGAGCACCUGGAGGCCGCAGAACAAGCAAGCGGGCUAAACUGCGGUAAGUUUCUCAUUUGUUCCUUCUUUAAAGUUGUUUCUAUUCUAGUGUAUAUUAACGCUGACUAGUGCAGCAUCAGGGAUUCUCUGAUGAAGAGUGAUCUAAAAUCCCUGGAAGAGUGGAGCUCGGCUCGAUGGAAGAAGACCGAGUCCAGUCCAGAUUCUCUUGAAAUGCAAACGGGAAUAUGUAAAAAUGAUUGGUCAGGUUAGUAAAUCUCAGUGUCAAACGCCUUUGAAGGAAAGGUACUGCUUGAUAGUGAACCCUGUCCAAAGAGUAUUCACUUUUUUCUAGUGCCAUACGAAGAGAAACGCAGUCAGACAGUGAAGUAUGAAAGUGAAAAAUAGCUCUAAGAAAUAAUUGCAUUUGGCUCACUCAUUCCUUGAGUAAAUCUUCUAUCUGUCAUUAUCACACCAGAAGGUAGUUCAUGGGGUGGCACCCCAUACAUAAUUAGAUUCAUGGCCUUGGUCAGUAGAGCAGGAGUGUCUAUCCAAGAAUGGAGGGAGGUUUCUCAAUUUGCCUUUACAAGUGUCAGGAUCAAAUGAGAUUUACCAUAGUCACAGAACAAGCAGUUUGAGUAAGUAAUGUUCUUUUUCUUGAGCAAUAGGUUUAGUGAAGUGUUAUCUGGUGUUAAUGAUAGUUCUUGAUUCUUCAUCAGGAGAGGGAUCUAGAACAUGAUUUUAUUUAUAAGUUCUUUAAUUUUAAAUGUUGUUAAAGAUGUUGUUUGUCCAUCAUAUGCACUUCCUCCUAGAAUUGUAAAAUAUAAUUAUGAAUUUAUAAGUCAUAAUAGUGAUUUUAUAAAAGAUUUUAUUUGUAUGGAUGACAAUAUGGAAAUACUAAUAAUGAAUUGUAAGAUAUGAUAACUCAAUUACUUGAUGAUAAUAUCCAAUAAUCACAUGCACUACGAAGGAAAUACACAUGGGUGUGCAAUAUAUAUAAUUUCAAUUAAGACUAUAUCUUGCUCAAGGGUAUAUUAUAUUUUAAAUAGUUAUUAAUCAAUAAGAAUUAAAAUCAUGUCAUUUAUUUUGAUAUUAUAUAUAAUGCACUAUAUCUCUUUCCCCUGAAUCCAAAUAGAAAAGGGGUAACUUUUUAAUGAAAAAACCCUUAAUAACUAUUUAUCUUUAUUUAUCCUUUGAGGUUCCAAAGAUCCACAGUGAUAGUAUAUUUAAAUCUUAUUUUAUGAUCACAUAUGUUGCAAUAUAAACACCUAAAUUACCAAGGAAAUAAUGUUUAAUAUCAUAAAAACAUUAUAUAAAGCCCAAGGGCAUAAAUUCAUAAAGAAUAAUAGAUAAUAGGUAUUAUUUAAAGUUAAAAAUUAUUAAAAGGUAAAACCAGAGGAAGCUAUCCAAAAUGGAUAAUGCCAAAAGGAUUUUAAUACAAAUAUAUGGGGCCUAUGAAUAAUAAUCAUGAUGUGUUGAAUUAUAAAUUGUGUAUAUCUAAAUUGAAAACCCACUCUUUAAGUCAUUGAGUAAAUUUAUCCUUAAAACACAUAUUAAGACAUGGAGGGUCAACACUAAUGGCCCAUUUCAUUAAAUAUAUAGUCAAAUAUUUUGAAACAUUAAACAAUUUAUAGUCCAAUUGUGAGCCACCAUAUGUUUAUAUUUAUCUUUAUUUAAUUUUUUUCUUCUCAUUUGACUUUUUUUGUGCUUGUUUCACUUCAUUUGAAUUUUUUUGUUGUUUGAAUUCAUUUGGGGGUCAAAGCAUGAAAGGGUGGGCCAGAAAAUAGAUAUUUUCUAGUAGUUUACAGUGAAUAUAAAUUUUAAUUUUUCUAUUAGAUCCUUUAUGAUUUUUUAAAAUAUAAAUAAAUGUGGAAUGUAAUGUUGCAUAUAUCUACUUCAAAAAAAAUUAAAAAUCGUUUUUUAAAAUUUAAGUUUUGGCUGAACAUCCUAAAAAGUCUUUUUUAUGAUCUCACCCUUGACUUAGUUUUAAAACUUGGUUUUAGCUUGAUUUAUGAAUUGCACACUAUAGAUGAUUAUUGACCAUUUUGCAAAUACACAUGAAUGCAUAGAUGCCAAGAUGUGUCUUCCAUUCAUAUAUGAUCAUGUGGUGAGUCAAAUAGAUAGUGUUGACAAGCCAUCAAGAAUCAACAUUGAUGUAGUUUUUGAAAGUAUAGCUACUUACCUAUGUAGUGUAUAUGAUAUUAAAGGCUACUCAGUGAUUCCAAAAGGUAAAGUGGUUGAAAUAGCUUUGAUUGCUUGUGAAGUGGAAGAAUUGAAUGGGAGAUCAAAGAAGAUUUUGAAUUAAAUGUAAAUCCUCCUCAAUUAACUCCUCUUAAGCAAGAGCUUGUUAGAGAAGAUGCAUAAAGCAUUUGGGUUAUUUAGUUUCUCUUGUGAUUUUCUUAACUUUGAUACAAAAUUAUCACCACAUUUUGAGUACAUGCUAUAUGAUGCAAGCCAACAACAACCACCUCAUAACUCUAUGCCAUAUAUGAUAUGAUGAUAUGAAUACCAUACUAAUAAAUCUUGGGUCAUGCUUCUUAUACACCAAUACUCCUAAUAACCAAGGAUCUAAUAAACUAGAGGAUUUAUAAAAAAUUAAGGGAAAAUUACAAUUUUUUACCUGAAAGAUUGAAAAUGUAUGGGUAAUUUAAAACUUUCAAAUAUAUCUACAAAAUGUGGUCUGCACUUUUCAAAUAGAAUAAUGUUGAAAGUCAUCUAUUUUUCUUUCUUGUACCUUAAAUCUCAUUUAAUUUGGACCCAUGUUAUUUCAUGAAGAAAUCUAGAGCCCCAAAGCAGAGCCAGAUCUUUCAUUGACAGAAGAAAUCGUUUGCUGACAUAUCCAGGAACCUUGGGCAUUAUGGCACCGAAGCACUGGGAACAUGCUAGGGUUGAAGAAUUCAGUGGAUCCAAAAUGCGCACUCUUAAGCUCACUAAACCAUUGCCGAAGAACUCAUAUGAAGAGUUGUCCAAAUCAUUGGGGGAUGGACUUAAGCUGUGAUACCUUCACCAGAGGAAGCUUUCUGAGAUCGGAGAUAGAUUUUGUUUGGCAUUUCAAUGAUCUUAGAGUGUAUUUCGGUAUUAAGACCAGACGCAUAGCAUUUUAUUCCACCACAUAAUAUUUGAAAGGACACCAGUGUGACCACUGGCAAUGGAGCUUGCUACGCUUCACUUUCGGGGGCUUAAACUAGUGCCACCACUUUGAGUACAAGGUCUCCCAGUGCACCGGAAGUAGAAAAGGACGGAAGCUGCACAACACAAUUCUUGCACUCAUCGCUGACAGACAGCUUAUUAUUGCCAGUGUAUGGACAAUCAAAGUGUAUAGUGGCAACUUUGAAGCCCUUUGUAUAGAUGUCAAAUCCACCUGUAGUCCCAGAUGGAGAACCUUGCCUUCCACAUGCAGCAAAUGGCGGGUUGGGAGAGGUUGCUCCAGCAGCAAUGGUUAUCCCACCUGGUGCACUGCCAUCAUUGUUCUUAUUUGGGUACUUAUACCACUUUCCAUAUGAUAAGAAGGAGUUUUUCACUUCUAAGGUGUCUCGUCCCAGGUUUGUGAUCUUGAAGGAUACCCACUGAGGAUAUCCCUCCCAACUUUCCAUCUGCAUUACACAUGUAUUUGUAAGCCCAGCAAUUAAACUUGAGUUACGAACCGGUGACUUGAAAGAUAGAAACCGAGUCCUCUUCUCCAGCCGAAGCAGCAGAAGCUAAGCUCCUAAUGGAUAUGCAAAGCAAUGCUAGAAGGAAAGAAGAACUCGACAUGAUUUCUUGCAAAUUUGGAUUUGGGCUUGCAAAUUUAUACUCCCUAAAUAUCACUUUUUAAACGUUCAACAAUGGUUAUGGAAUCUAAAACAAAGCACAAAGUUCUAAAACUUGAACCAUUUUUAAACAGGUUAGUGCCUCCUACUCAAAAGGUUUAGACUAAGGAGCAGUAUGUGGCAUAAUUGUCAGUCUCACGUGAAAGAUUGCGACGUAUAGCGACGUUUAGCUUUCCAACACUAGAGUAUAAUUAUCAUAGGAGAAAAUUGAAAAGAUCGAUCGUCACAUAUUUCAGCUGAAUUCUUCCGUGAAAUGGUCGUUGUUUAAGAAAUGCAGUACCAACGGGAGCAAGAGUUCACGGCGAGAUCCUCCAAUUUUGCAGCAAAACCAGGAAUCUGUCGCGUGCAAAAGAGAUUUACGAAUUCGGGGGGAGUGACGAUUGUGCAGCAAGCAGCUGCACAAUCCAUCCAUGAAUUUGGAUGGAUCCAUGCACAUUCAUGAAAUUGGAAAUCCAGAUGUUUGGAAGAUGUGGGAGCUUGCAAGAAGCAAGAGAGAGAUCGCAUGGGAUCUGCAAGGAAUCGUUUCUUGUGGAACAACAUGAUUGCUGCGCAGGAUAUGCCAAAACGGCUAUCGGGAGUGAAGGAAUUGCUAUGGGAGACAAGAACAUUGUAGCCUGGAAUCAGGUCAAAGAUAUUGAAAAGGAAAGAUAAUUUGAUGCAAUGCCGGAUAAGUUUAGUGGACUACGAUUCUUACAGCAUAUGCCCGGUGUGGGUAUUUGAUAAAAGCGAAGCUAAUCUGUGAUUCGAUAACAUGUUUUCCUGGAAUUCAACGAGGCCUUUUCGAACGAAUUCCCGAGCACGCCUCAUGACGUGGAAUUGGCUAUCUUUUAAAUGCCAAAGCCGAGAGAGUUGUUUCCUCCAUCGUCAGAGCAUAUGCCCGGAGCGGGCAUACGACCAGAGCCAAGCGGAUGUUCGCUGCCUUCUCGGGAAGAAAGAUCUCAUCGCCUGAACACGGCCUUGUCGCAUUGCCAGGAUCACGGCAGAGACACCAUCAACGUGGCGUUUGAUCCCGAGCAUUCGGCGUUUGUGAGCGUUCUUGGUGCUUGCGGCCAGCUUGGGCUGUUCUAGUGGGGAUGGAGCUACUUUCGAAACAUGCCCAAUGAUCACCGCCAAGUGGAUCUCUGCACUUGAUCUGGUCAACUAGCUGCCGAGGAUCUCAUAUCCAGCGAUUUAUUCUUUCCUGGAGUUCAGAAAUCAUCCUCAAUGCUGAUGCUUCUUGGAAAAAUUAAGAUAUAAAUAUCUUUGAAAUGUCCAAGGCAUCUGUUCUUCACUCUUAUUAUCAUCACGAUUGCGCCGCCUGGCACCAGUCGCACUUUGAAAGAGAAAUUUGCCGCAGGAGUGAUUGUUUCCUUCAAGCUGGAAUGAAACCUAAGUUUGCUCAUAGAUCUAGAUGUUUGUAAUAAUGUAUGUAUGGUAUGUUUGAUCUUGGGUACUUUACAAGUUGACUACAUUUUGAUAUUUUCUUAUCUAUACUAAUAUAUCUUCUCUAAAUCUCUUUAGAAUUUUUGAGCAGCAUAAACCUUUUUAUACAGGGUUUUCUCAAAACCCAAUUUUAGGUCUAUAUAAUUUUCAUUUGGGCAAUUUACAUAGCUUUUGAGUGCGUUUAAUAAGUUUUCUCAAAAAAAAAAUUCUAUGAUAUUGUACCACUUGUGUCUAGCUUCCCACAGUUGUAUAGUUUUAUAUUGUAUAUUGCAAGUGUGAAUGUGUUAAUCAUGUCUGCCAUUUCUUAUAGGAAUUCAUCUAUAUAAAAACUUCUUAAAACUUCAUGAAACUUCCAGGGGUAUUUUUGUCUGUUUCAAUCUUUUGAGGGUAAAAUUAUUUUCACGUACCGAGGUGUGAAUAUUCAGUAUCAAGAAUAUGGACAAAAUUUAAAAUUCUAAUCUGUAUGCAAAAGUCAAUAUUAUGGCGGACUUAAACGACUCCUCAACUUUACUUAUACAGAUAAGAUAGAAAGGUUUGAUCUAUUAUCAUGUUGAUCUUGUUGUUGGUGACCCUAUUAAGUAGCAUCCCUCACUCGAGCCCUCAAAUAAUUGUUGAUCCAGGCAUAGGAGGGAGAAUACGUCGUGAAUACUUUCCAAUCAUCAUAGGCGGCCUUGCCAGCUUGGUGACGAACAUCCCAGGCGGCCCAGUCUCACCUGGUAUAUUUGCUACGGUUGUUUUAGUUGGCAGCCAGCAGUGCCUCCUCCGUGUCUCCUUUUACAGCAACACCUGUGAUGCCACACCAACACAUGACGACACGCUUAGACGCUACCAACUUAUCUUUGCAUUUCAGAACCUCCUACAUAUAAUGUUGAACAACUUGUAUGCAACAGGAGCAAACUAUAUUACAAUCAUUAAUGGAAGAUUUGGGAUGGAGUAUGUGCUUGACGAGGCAACUCAGCAAGACUCACAUCAGAGCUCUAUGCUAUACGAUCUUGGGUCAUGCUUCCCAUAUGUCAACAUGAUCCAGAGUGGGCCAAAGUCACGAGUCUACUCAAGGGUCAAUGCUGGGUCAAAGUUGGAGUCUCAAAAUGGGUGGUACUCAAUGGAGGUGCGGUAUGGGUGUGACAUGGUGGUCAAAAAGGCAAGUGGUGUCUUGUGGAAAACAGAUGUGAGAGAAAGUAGCCAAACUGGCUGCUACUUUGCAUUGCAAAUGGAUGGGAAUGGUGUGCUUGAGAAUGAGAGUGUUUGUGUUUGGGCAACAAAUACUAUGGAAGGCGGAUUGAUUUCAUCAAUAUUAGUGAUGCAGAAUGAUGGCAAUCUAGUGUUGUACAAAACUGACACACAGAAAGUAGUGUGGGCAUCUAAUACAAAUAAUAAUAAAUAAUAUAUACUAUAUAUCACUAUACUCUUUGUUAAGUAGCAUUUUCCUUGACUAGUUCUUGUUUGAAGAGUAUUCACACUUAGUUUGAAUUCUUCUUUGAUCUCUUCAAAAGGACCAGCAUUCAGUUCUUCCAUUACAUCAAUAGUUAGAGCCCUUGUCUCAACCACCUUACCUCUAGACAUGCUCAGCAUUGCUUUGAUGUUGUAGGUAAACAUAUGGCAUUAAUUUUGUCUAGGUCUACUGAAGCUUGCAAUGUCAUCAUCCCGUCCAUACACAUGUAGGGGCAUACAUCAUGAAAGCAUUGCACAUUUAGUCACGCCUUAUAAAAAUCAAUAUCAACUCUAAUUUACUUUCCUUUCCAAUAAUUUUAUUGGUAUCAUAAGAUGCUUAUUUGUCUUCUUUAGUAAAUCCAAAUUCAGGCUUAUAGAUAGAAACAACUUUGCUUGACUCCAUUUUAACAACUGGUUAAGGUAAUUAAUUUAUUGGAGUGAAUCAUUUAGCUGGUGGAGCCCAAUAUUACUUAAAAACCUUCAACAUCCAUGAAAUAAAGCCAAUGAGUAAACACUACGAUCACACCAAACAGCCUUUUCCCUGAUUGUCAUAGAAAGCAAAACUUGGAGACUGCACUGUCCUCUCGUCCCAAUCCAUCCUUCUGCAAGCCGUAUUCAAAGUAGUUGACUCCGUCAGAAAGAUCAAGGCAGAUACCCCAAGAUAACAACGAGCACACGCAAUCGACUUUGAGAACGCGGCAGCAAGAACCUCUCGGAAGUGAUCUGGUUCCGGAUCGCGGGAGUCAUGGGCGGAGAAUCUAGCAGCCGUGUUCUUGACCAAAAGCUGAACUUUGGAGUGAUCCUGCGGCGUCGUGGGAUCGUUGUCACUGUCCCUGGUCUUGGUGAGAGCUCCGAGAGGGCAUUGUCCGACAACGCGGAGCUCUUCAUCGUCUCUAUGCUCGAGCAAGCCGCAGAAGAGCACAAAGUUGGCAACCACCGCAAGUGGAGAUUGUUUCCGCUGCAGCCCUUGUAGCUCCAAUCUCCGUGUCUACUUUAAAUCACAGACAGCGUCAUCUAUGCUAGAAAAGGAACUUUGGAAAAGCUGACCAGAGUUUCUACUUGCUCGUCCUCCAGGCGCUCAUCGCAAAGACGAUACUCUCCUUCCAUCCGAGCAGCAGCCAGUGCCCAUCCACGCCCAGCUUGAAGUUGUUGUUUAGCUUGCUGCUGCUGCACCACACGUCCUUCACCACCUCGAUCGUUUCCGGUCGAACCGGCAGCAGCUCAAAUCCAGCUCUUCUAGCCCUCGAGUCCCAGCUCCUGUAAGAAUUUGCCCGCUCAAUCCUUUCAACGCCCUCCAGAGCCACCACGUCCAUGAUCACCUUUGCAAUGAUGUUCCCCAUGAAAUCAUACUCCUCCGGCAUGUCCUCUUGCAGGAGCAGCGUCUCGAACAGCUCCAUCCUCGUGAAAAGCGUAUCGAGCGCCCCCUCGAAACGUUGGAUGAAGAAAGGAGAGCUCAAGUUGGAGGUGGCAUCCAACACGCACUGUAUGAACAGGUCCGGUUUGAGGCUGUAAACUCUUUCGAAGAAGAGCUUCCGCGGAUUGUUCCCGACGCUGCCAUCUUCUCGCAAAUGCCGGAGGCGGAGGUUGCAAUUCACGAUGAGCAAGUCCUCGACGUGCGUCUUGGGCUGGACCAAUUCCCAGGACGUGCUCGUGAUCGCGUCGAAGUCGAGCGAGACUCCACAGCUC
rnacentral:lncRNA from 1 species